UACGAAGGGGGCUAGCGUUGCUCGGAAUCACUGGGCGUAAAGGGUGCGUAGGCGGGUUCUUAAGUCAGAGGUGAAAUCCUGGAGCUCAACUCCAGAACUGCCUUUGAUACUGAGAGUCUUGAGUUCGGGAGAGGUGAGUGGAACUGCGAGUGUAGAGGUGAAAUUCGUAGAUAUUCGCAAGAACACCAGUGGCGAAGGCGACUUCCUGGCCUGUUCUUGACGCUGAGGCGCGAAAGCUAGGGGAGCAAACGGG
rnacentral:rRNA from 1 species